GGAGGCGUGGCUGAGUGGUUGAAGGCACCGCAUUCGAAACGCGGCAGGGGUGAAAGCCCCUCGGGGGUUCAAAUCCUCCCGCCUCCG
rnacentral:tRNA from 2 species